UAUCCAAAACUCAAUAGAUAUAUCACGAGACACACCUUCCUUUUGAAACCUAUGAAACCAUGUUUGAAAAUAUCGCCAUUUCCACUUCAUCAUCUAGUUACUGUAUUUUCUUCAAUUCGAUAUUUUGUCGAGUCUUUUUGUUGUUCUAGAGAUGGUUAUUGGUAAUUUUGUAGGAGGAGAAGAUGCGGAAGUAAAUAAAGAUGGAAAGAAGAAAUUCAUCACUAAAGAACAAGAACCAUAACAGUAAGCAAUUCAAUUCUUAACCGUUAUAGCAAAAUUUCAUUUACUUAUGGUGUCUUAGCAAUAUGUAGGUAUUGGCAAACAGUAUGGGAAAGGGAAGGGGAGAAUCUAAUGAUGAACAACAUUGAAAUUAGAGAGAUGGAAAUAGGAAUAGAGUUGAAUCGAUUACCUAAUGCGUGCGUGAUGCGUUUGCAUGCGAUAAUAGAAGCAAAUAGGAGCCUGCGAUCGAAAGGAAGUAUUAACAGGGAAGCUACAACAACAUGAGAUAGGGAUAGGGAAGCUACGAUCUUAAAGCUCCUAUGAACAUGAUUGUUGUAUUGAAAUUUACAAGUGAGGGCAAUGUUGUCUAUUUAAAAUGGGUUUUUAAUUAUAAUGAUUUAAUAUUAUAAAAAAAAUUAUGAAUCAAUAAAAAUUAUCAAAAAAAAUAGGUUUGGGUAUAUAUGAUAUUAAAAAACAUUAGCAAUGACAAAUACGAUAUUAUGAAUUUUAUCCGGACAAAUACGAUAUUUAGAUGUUUAGCAAGGAUAUAUACGAAAUUCUGCUUUUUUUUUUAUACGUUCACGGUAUAAACACGGGUUAUAAUUUAGUUUCAUACUUAGGAAAACAAAACACUCACACGAUACUAAUCUCACAUUCAAGAUGCAAGGAUACUAUAAAAGUAUAAAUUAAAGAAACUCUCUUUCAUGUAUUGGGAAACGGAAACUAUAAGCAUAUGCCGACAUAAAACACGAAAAUAGAAACUUCACUUAUACCAUAUAUAAAAGCACAAAAUCAGAAUUAAACAAUAGUAUGAUUUGAACAAUAUAUCAACCGCAUGAUGUAAUCUUCAUAACCUCGCCUUCAAAUGUUGCGAGAUAGAGGAACAGAUUACCUUUUGAAUUUUAAAACCUUUUUUGAAUUUGAGAUUAGUAUAAAUAUGCUUUGUAUCUAAAUAAUAUUAAUAUCCAUGUACGUACGUAUAUCCCAAACCUAAAUCCCGUAAUUAAUGUAUAGAUAGGCAAAGCAAGUCAAGCCAUUAUGUCAAGAUAAACUUCUUCAAUUCGUGUGUAUAAGAAACCUAAUGCUAUAAAAACGAGGGAUUACAAAGCAAACAGUUUAUUCUCAUGAUAUUCUUCCGAAAGAGAAA
rnacentral:lncRNA from 1 species